AGCGGGAGAGACAGAUGUGUAAAUAAGCAAGUAUAUUGCCGUGCAACCCGUGGUGAGGAAGAGACAAGAACACUGGACACAGUAAGAGAAUCCUGGCACCUCUACAAAUUGGGCUGUGCCAGAGAAAAAGAAGUUUUGGAGAUCAGACCAUCCAUCUCCUAGUUUGGGCAGAAACAAUCAUCUCUUCCUCUCCAUCACUCCCUGUUUGACUCUGGGAGGGUGUCAGAGAAAGGAGGCGUCUCUUCUGUUCUGAAGUCUCUAAGGAAGCCAGCCUGGAUCCCACCCUUCCCUUCCAGGGAAUGUAUCCUGUGAUGUUAAAGUAGGAGUCAAGCCUGGAGAAUGAAUUUCUCCUGAACUGUCCCUUCUGCCGGAGAGGCUCUGCAUCCAGGAAACCAGAUCCAGGACACCUUCCUUGUGUACGAAUCACACCUUGGCUCUGGUGCCUAGGAUGGGACACCGACUGAAGAUUAGCCCCGGCACCUGAAUGGACAGAGAAGUGGAGCCCCAAACAGCUCAGAGUGUCAAUGUAUCUAAUACUUCAGGCUCCUGCAUCCUGUUCAAGGAGCCCAUACCCUAAAGCAACUGGUGGGGGUCCCCACUAGAAGGGUAGGGGUCACCCGGGGGAGGCCCGGGGUCCCGUUGGCCCUUCUUCCAACUGAAGAACUCCUCUCCACGCUCCCUUCAGAGCCUUCCCUUCUUGUCUCAGCCUGACUCCCUCCCUGACUCGCCGGGAUUUAUUUCAGGAGAUGUUUCGCCCACUCUGCCUGACGUCUGCGAGAAACUGGGUGCUCAGGGAGUCCUCACCAUCUGCCCCCCUCCGCCAUCCACCAGGCAGCCUCCAUGGGGCUCAGCUCCCAGACCAGGAAAGUCAGCUCAAGCUCACUCCCACACAUGCAAAUCCUCUGCCAAGUGGCUGGUGGUUUUAUUUCUUAUCUCCCCAAAGCAAGGGCAUUACAAUGUCCACCCCCAUACACAUACACACCCCUUGGCUUGAAGAGUCCUUGAAAUCCGGGGAUGGAGGAUGAGGAGCCUGGAUUAAAGUUCCUUCCCCCCCAAACCCUCUCUACAUACACAUUUUAGCAGUGCCUAUGAAAAUCCGAUUAUACAUACCCUUUGAUACAACGAUUACAUGUCUAGGGAUUUAUCUUACAAGCAGUAUGUGCAAAGGGACACCUCGGGGACUCAACACCAGUUAAGGAUCCGACUUCAGCUCAGGUCAUGACCUCAUGGUUUGUGGGUUUGAGGACCACGUCAGGCUCUCCCCUGAAAGUGUAGAACCUGCUUGGGAUUCUCUCGCUUUCUCUCUCUACUGCUCUCC